CUGCUGCAAAGUCCAUGCUACUGGAAGCCUCGAAGUAGGGGGGAUUCUGUUCUAGUCUUUGUCAAAUCCCACUGCCCAUGGCAGCACCAGGACCCAGUUGGGGCUCCUUGGAACUGGCAGGAAGGAAUCGGGUGGGGAGACAGGCAGAGAAGGGGGUCUGUGCAAAGACCAGGAGAAACCAGAGACAGGUCGUGGCGGGGGCUGAGACCUUCACACAGGGCAGGGGCCGCCCCGGGGGGUUCUCCUUGUCUUGCAGCCCCUGUGCAGGGCAUCCUCAGAGCAGGGGCAGCCCAGGGCACCGGGACGCCCAGGUGGAAGGUGACCUGCCAUCCUGCAGCUUCACUUCCUGCCGGGUGAUUCGGUACCCCUGGUUGUGCCUGUCGCUCAGUGGGCCAGGGUCUAAGGGCUGUGAAGACUCAACAUGCCCCCACCUGCUACUUCUGAACACCAGGCACUGGCUCUGAGACCCCCGGGCCUUGCUGGACAUCUCCCCAGGUGUACUGGGCCAGGGGACAGGGGCCUGGCCAUCCCAACACCCAGGAGCAAGCAGCCCGUCACCUGCCCAGGUCCCCGAGGCCUGGAACACCUUCCUGCUGGGCCCACCCAGCCCUGGACCUGUCCCGCUUGGUCACACGAUGGGACCCUCGGCCCAUCAGCAGCGCCUUCAACUGUGAAGAGGUGAACUCUUCAAACACGCUGAGCAAACAGGCCCGACUCCCAGGGCCGCAUCCGGGAUGUCUCAAUAGCUGUGGCCUUGACGUCCACCUCGGACCCCUGCCCCGGACCCAGCCCAGUUCCCAAUGGGCCCUCUGCCCGGGGAGGUGCCUAGUGGGAGGGACGAGGGCAAAGUCGGGGCCCCCACUUGUUUGGUGUCACUGUGUGCCAGCGGCCACUGGCGGGCGAGGCUGUUCC
ensembl:lncRNA novel transcript